rnacentral:lncRNA from 1 species
GAAAGCGCGCGCCGCGAGGGCCGGCGGGAAAUGUAGUCUCACGCCGGUAAAGCCACAGAGCGACGAUGAGGCGAGACGUCUGCGUUCUUCUCAGGCCUGAGACCCAACCGGCCCGGGCACCAGCUCCUGCUGGACCCCAGAGCGCCUGGAAAGCUCCGGAACCUCUCACCUGCCGCCUCCUCGGGUCCAAGUGCCACCGCGGCCGCGCCCCCGGCAGCCCAGGGCGCGCUUCCACCACGGUACCGGUGGAGUCGCCGUGCGCAGCCGGAAGAUGGCGCAGACGCACAAAGCACACCGAUGCUGCGCCAUGAUAGGGCCGGCGCCGCAGUGUCUUCCGGGAAACAUAGUCUCUAGGCGUAAAGGCAGCAGCCCGGCCUUGAAGCCGGAUCUCGCGAUGUUUCAGGGUGAGCCGGACGCAGGCGUGCCUGCGCAGUGCGCGGAGGAGUGCUGUUCGUGUGAUCGAGUCCCUGGGUUGCUUCCUGGGGUCUGUGGUGCUGGGUGUGCUAUCUGCGUGUGCUUCUCUAGCGAGAGAUUGUGGGCGAGUGACCGAGUGGGCAAGGGGCCGUCACUGUGUGUGCGUGAUUGUGACGGUGUGUGGUGGUAGCUUCUGACUCCGCGUGGGUCGUUGAAUGUGUGACUGGGACCGUUUAGCGGUGGAUACACAACUGUGUGCGGCUGUGGAAGAUUGACUCAUCCGUUACGUUCCCAUUUCCGUGGAACAACAGUUUUACCAGAAGGUUUCGAAGGAACCUUAAAGUUUGGAAGCGUAACAGUUUAUCUGGCGGCUUUGGAGUCAUCAAAUGUGAGAAGCCCUGGACUUUACACAUCCCGAGCCAGUGUGAUCCAGUAUGAUUGGGAGUCCGAGUGCCAGAUGCCGGUCGGGACCUGUUAUGCUGGGUCUCAGAAUGCGGAAACUCUCCCUGUCCGAGGUGGAACAGUUUGUCCUUGAGUGAGGACCGGAGUCCUGAGUGACUCUUGAUUUGAUCCUGUUUCCCUCAAACCUGAGAUGGGAGCCUCACUGUAUUGCCCAGGCUGGUCUUGAACUCCGGAGCUCAAGUGAUCGUCUUGCUUCAGCCUUCCAAAAUGAUGGUGAAGCUGCAUCAUUGUCUGGGGUAAAUACCUGAGGUUCGUUGUCUCACGCCAAGGGAAUCAAGGACGUGGACACACAAGAAGACAUACAGCCCUGCCGAGCAAACAAUGAACGUAACUCACAAACUUCCUGCUUAUCAUCAAACGCACGCAUCCACUUAUCAUCAAACACCUCGGGUGACAGAAGAAUGCAGGUCAGCUCCCUGCUGCCUUGGCAUUAUCAAUCAGCCCAGGAACCAUCCUAUAAAAUCUCCAGCAAGCCUUUGUUUCUUGCAGUCAGCUCCUCUUCCACUGAUUCUGCCUGUUGCUCCCUGAUAACCUACUUUGAUACUGUCUUUAAUAAAUCUGCUUUUCUUCACCCACAGCUGUCUUGGUAAGUUCUUUUACCUCUGUGCCACCAGCCCAAAUAGUUGCUGCUCAC